UGCGGAGGGGGCUAGCGUUGUUCGGAAUUACUGGGCGUAAAGCGCACGUAGGCGGACCAGCAAGUUGGGGGUGAAAUCCCGGGGCUCAACCCCGGAACUGCCUUCAAAACUGUUGGUCUGGAGGUCGAGAGAGGUGAGUGGAAUUCCGAGUGUAGAGGUGAAAUUCGUAGAUAUUCGGAGGAACACCAGUGGCGAAGGCGGCUCACUGGCUCGAUACUGACGCUGAGGUGCGAAAGCGUGGGGAGCAAACAGG
rnacentral:rRNA from 1 species